UGGUCUUGACAUCCAGGGAAUCUCCAGGAAACUGGAGAGUGCCUCUUGAGGAACCCGGUGACAGGUGCUGCAUGGCUGUCGUCAGCUCGUGUCGUGAGAUGUUGGGUUAAGUCCCGCAACGAGCGCAACCCUUGUCUUUAGUUGCCAUCAUUAAGUUGGGCACUCUAAAGAGACUGCCGGUGUCAAACCGGAGGAAGGUGGGGAUGACGUCAAGUCCUCAUGGCCUUUAUGACCAGGGCUACACACGUACUACAAUGGCAUAGACAAAGGGCAGCGACAUCGCGAGGUGAAGCGAAUCCCAUAAACUAUGUCCCAGUCCGGAUUGGAGUCUGCAACUCGACUCCAUGAAGUUGGAAUCGCUAGUAAUCGUAGAUCAGCAUGCUACGGUGAAUACGUUCCCGGGCCU
rnacentral:rRNA from 1 species